CAGCAGGAGGCCCCAUUGGCUAAAGUGGUACCUCAGGUUAAGAACAGUUUCAGGUUAAGAACAGAUCUCCGGAACAAAUUAAGUCCAUAACCAGAGGUAUGACUGUAUUAGAUCCAACUUCCCUUCUUUAGACAAAAGGAACCACGAACAAUUUCUUAUAUGGUAAUACAGUUGUGUCUGCAUUUGUAAAUAACUAGGAUGUUUGUGGAACACGUCAGAUUUUUUAAAACACGUUUUUCCGCAGGUUAAGUAGUCGAGGGCUGAUUUCUUGGCCUAUGAUAAAAAGUCUUCUGUUUCCACUGCCAAACCUUUCAGGGGGGAAUUUGCAACAGUUAGGCACCAUUUUUGAGUGAAUUGGAUAACGUCAGAUUUUUGCUGAAAUUAGGGAUUUUUUCAGAAAAAUGUUUUUCCUCUGGUUAAGUAGUCGAGGGCUGAUUUCUUGGCCUAUGAUAAAAACUCUUCUGUUUCCACCGCCAAACCUGUCAGGGGAGAAUUUGCAACCAUUUGGCACCAUUUUUGAGUGAAUUGGAUAACGUCAGAUUUUUGCUGAAAUUCUGACCCUGCAAGGUGAGGGAUUUUUUCAGAAAAAUGUUUUCCGCAGGUUAAGUAGUUGAGGACUGACUUCUUGGCCUAUGAUAAAAGCUCUUCUGUUUCCACUGCCAAACCUUUCAGGGGAGAAUUUGCAACCGUUUAUAACCAUUUUUGAGUGAAUUGGAUAACAUCAGAUUUUUGGUGAAAUUCUGACCUAGUGGGUUAGGGAUUUUCUUGCAAAAAAUGUGGGUUAAGAAACUGAGGGAUGAUUUUUUUUGUCUAUGAUAAAAUAUUCUGUUUGUCCUGCCAAACCUUGCAGGGGAGAAUUUGCUACAGUUUGGCACAAUUUUUUAAUGAAUUGGACAACAUAAGAUUUUUGGUUAAAUUGUGACCUCAACGGGUUUCGGAUUUUUUUGAAAAAACAUUUUUUCGCAUUUUAAGUCACUGAGGGCUGAUUUUUUGGGUACAUGGUAAAAUAUUCUGUAUGCACCGCCGAGCCUUGCAAGGGAGAAUUUGCUAGAGUUUGGUACCAUUUUUGAAUGAAUUGGAUAACGUCAGAUUUUUCAUGAAUUUGUGACCCCGUGGGUUAGGGAUC